CCUACGGAUGGCAGCAGUGGGGAAUAUUGGGCAAUGGGCGCAAGCCUGACCCAGCAACGCCGCGUGAAGGAAGAAGGCUUGCGGGUUGUAAACUUCUUUUGUCAGGGACGAAGCAAGUGACGGUACCUGACGAAUAAGCCACGGCUAACUAAGUGCCAGCAGCCGCGGUAAUAAGUAGGUGGCAAGCGUUAUCCGGAUUUACUGGGUGUAAAGGGGGUGUAGGCGGGGAAGCAAGUCAGAUGUGAAAACCACGGGCUCAACCUGUGGCCUGCAUUUGAAACUGUUUUUCUGGAGUGCUGGAGAGGCAAUCGGAAUUCCGGGUGUAGCGGUGAAAUGCGUAGAUAUACGGAGGAACACCAGUGGCGAAGGCGGAUUGCUGGACAGUAACUGACGCUGAGGCGCGAAAGCGUGGGGAGCAAACAGGAUUAGAUACCCGGGUAGUC
rnacentral:rRNA from 1 species